UACCAUGCAAGUCGAACGGCAGCGCGGGGGCAACCCUGGCGGCGAGUGGCGAACGGGUGAGUAAUACAUCGGAACGUGUCCUGGAGUGGGGGAUAGCCCGGCGAAAGCCGGAUUAAUACCGCAUACGAUCCACGGAGGAAAGCGGGGGACCGAAAGGCCUCGCGCUCAAGGAGCGGCCGAUGGCGGAUUAGCUAGUUGGUGGGGUAAAGGCCCACCAAGGCGACGAUCCGUAGCUGGUCUGAGAGGACGACCAGCCACACUGGGACUGAGACACGGCCCAGACUCCUACGGGAGGCAGCAGUGGGGAAUUUUGGACAAUGGGCGAAAGCCUGAUCCAGCAAUGCCGCGUGUGUGAAGAAGGCCUUCGGGUUGUAAAGCACUUUUGUCCGGAAAGAAAACUUCGCCUCUAAUACAGGUGGAGGAUGACGGUACCGGAAGAAUAAGCACCGGCUAACUACGUGCCAGCAGCCGCGGUAAUACGUAGGGUGCAAGCGUUAAUCGGAAUUACUGGGCGUAAAGCGUGCGCAGGCGGUGAUGUAAGACCGAUGUGAAAUCCCCGGGCUUAACCUGGGAACUGCAUUGGUGACUGCAUUGCUAGAGUAUGGCAGAGGGGGGUGGAAUUCCACGUGUAGCAGUGAAAUGCGUAGAGAUGUGGAGGAACACCGAUGGCGAAGGCAGCCCCCUGGGCCAAUACUGACGCUCAUGCACGAAAGCGUGGGGAGCAAACAGGAUUAGAUACCCUGGUAGUCCACGCCCUAAACGAUGUCAACUGGUUGUUGGGGAUUCAUUUCCUUAGUAACGAAGCUAACGCGUGAAGUUGACCGCCUGGGGAGUACGGUCGCAAGAUUAAACUC
rnacentral:rRNA from 1 species